rnacentral:tRNA from 1 species
AGUCCUGGGGUGUUACACGUCAGAUUGCAAACCUGAAGAAGCAAACAAACGUUUGCCGGGACUU